GAUGAACGCUGGCGGCGUGCCUAACACAUGCAAGUCGAACGGAGUCGUUUUGUAAAUCUCUUCUGAGAUUGACUUCUCGACUUAUUUGCGGUCUGGUUAUUAACGCUUGAGCAAUCUUCCUUUAAGAGGGGGAUAACAGUCUGAAACGGCUGCUAAUACCGCAUAAAGCUUUACAUUCUCAUGUUUUUUUUUCCAAAUGAGCAAUCCGCUUUUAGAUGCGCUCGCGUCUGAUUAGCUAUUUGGCGGGGUAACGGCCCAACAAUGCGACGAUCAGUAGCAGGACUGAGAGGAGGAACGGCCACAGGGGGAAUGAGACACGGCAGAGAAUCAUACGGGAGGAAGGAGUGGGGAAUAUUGCGAAAUGGGGGAAACACUGACGAAGAAACGCCGCGUGAUAGAAGAAGGCAUUAGGGAUGUAAAGAUCUUUAAUAAGGGACGAAACAAAUGACGGUAACUGAAGAAUAAGCACCGGCUAACUACGUG
rnacentral:rRNA from 1 species